GUUGCAGUUCAGCCAGUUAUAAAACCCCCCCAUCUCCUAAGGGACUUUCUUUCUAUACUUCUUUGCUCUAGAGGAUUAGAAGUAAAACAGAUGUUAUCUUAGAAGUGCAAUUAAAAAGGAAAUAAAAACAGAGCAUUGCAUUUUGGGGUAGGACAGACUCACAGGAAGCUUCAAACUAGUAAGAAGACAUCAAUUUUUCUGUACCUGGUCAGCUGCUGGAUCUUUGGAGAGAGAGAUCAUGCAGCAGAGUUUGAAUGUGACUCUAUCCAGAAUUUCCUUAUCUCUCUGAGUCUGCUGGGAGUCUGAAAAACUGCUCUGAGCAAAGAAGUCAAGUAUGAGCCAUUUUCAAAAGAUUUUUGAUAUAUAGAACAGAAAAGGGGAGGAAGAAAGAGUCCAGAAAAAUUCAUCUGCUGCUGUUUCAAACUCGGGGACAGCAGCCCUGCUUCAAUACUGCAGAAGAAACAUUACUCCAGUGUCCCACCACUCUGGACAAGUGGGAAGAAAACAAGCAGCAAACAAGGCAGACAAAAUUGGAAGUAAUCACGAAAAUAUAGGGCGUUGAGGGAG
rnacentral:lncRNA from 1 species